rnacentral:rRNA from 1 species
GUCUAAUUUCAACCUGAUCUUGGAAGCUAAACAGGCAGGUCUGGUUAGUACUUGAAUGGGAGGCCUCCUGGGAAUACCAAAUGCUGUAGGCU